rnacentral:rRNA from 1 species
CACGUAGGGGACGAGCGUUGUCCGGAUUCAUUGGGCGUAAAGCGCGCGUAGGCGGCUCGGAAAGUCGGUCGUGAAAUGCCGGGGCUCAACCCCGGGACUGCGUCCGAUACUCCCGAGCUGGAGGCAGGUAGGGGAGAUCGGAAUUCCUGGUGUAGCGGUGAAAUGCGCAGAUAUCAGGAGGAACACCGGUGGCGAAGGCGGGUCUCUGGGCAGUAACUGACGCUGAGGAGCGAAAGCGUGGGGAGCGAACAGG